CCUGGUCAAGUUACACCUGAGCAGAGUUUGACUUGAGACCAAAACAGUCCUGGAAAUGCAGCCUGUCCUUGGCCCCCCUGCCAGAGGACAUACCUGGAACACUCGCCCAGGCCCCCGGCAGACACAAGUGUCCUUGCCCUUCUCUGGCUGGGUGGCCUCUGAGCCACAGGGGAAACAGGCAUCCUGGCCAGGCCAGGUGUUGAAGAACCCGGGAGGGCAGAGUUGGCAGAAGGAGGAGUUGUGGGGUCCUGCUUUGGAGAGGAAACUGCCCGGGGGACAGGGAGCUGGUGGUAUUUACCAUGCACUUGCUAUGUACCAGGCUCUCUUCUGGAGCUGGCGAUACCUGAAAGAAUCGUGCUGCAGGCUUGGCAGGAUUGUCGGAUGCUGUUUGUAAAGCUGGACUGGAAGGAGAGUCCCUGGGCUGCAAAAGAGGUGGCAUUGUGAGCUUGCAGGAAGUGGCGAGCAGGGCGCGGAGGAGUCCAAAGGAAAGAGGAGAGGAAAUGCGGUUGCAGGGGUGUGUGUGUGUGUGUGUGUGUGUGUGUGUAUUGGUAUGAUCUUAAUUAUUUUUAUAGGAAGUAAGAUUAGCAUCGGUGUAAUGUUUUGCAACAAUUCCAAAACGUUCCUGUCCCUGACAAUCACCUGAGGAUCUUUUAAAGACAGAGAUUCUGAUUCAACAGUAUAGGUGAUCUGGGGCCCGAGAUUCUGCAUUUCUGACAGGCUCUCAGUGAACUCCACCUCAAUGGACCAUGUUUUCAGUAGCGAAGCGUUGUGAGGAACUUUGAUACACACCGCACUUUUUGGUACUCACAGCUACCUUGGGAGAUUGACAUUGUCAUGAACCCCAUUUUAUCGUGUUAAGACAUGGAGGAGCAAAGGGAUUAAAUCACUUGCCUAAGAUCGUACCUGGAGGCCAGGCCAGGGUAGAGCGCAGGUAUUCUUGCUCCCAAGCCUGUUCUCUCUGUAUCCGUCAUUACAUUUCCCAGCUAGUAGAAAGUAGGUUCAUCUUGUCAACCUUCCUUCUGCUGUGAGUAGGUGGGUGGGAAAGCUUCCCACUUCUCUGAGGUCUUCUGUAACCUUGUGGUCUCUCCGUCCUGUUUCUAUCAUGGCCAUUAGCUCUCUGCACUUCACCUCCCUUCUGUGAAAUUGAUCUCAAAGGUAGCUUCUGACUUGGUUGAGUGGGACAAGGACGUUGUGCUUGGGUGGUGUAAAGGUCCUGGGGUCCUAAAUAGGUUCAGAUUACUCCAGCCGAGUAGUAGAGCUGGCAGUAGUAGAGCUGGAAGGGACACUAGGAGCUAUGUCCUUCAGCUCUUCUAUUUUGUGGAUGAAAAAACUCAGACCCAGAGGGAGGAAGAGUCUUGUCCUGAGUCAACACAAGACAAGAUGGAAAAUUCCCACAAGGUCAGGUCACUGGACAGGAUUUCUAGGAAUAGCAAGCCGGAAAAGGUUAAAAUAGAAUUCAGGUUGCUCUUCAUGUUGAAGUUUAAGUUAAGACUCAGAUCCUAAUUGUUCUCCGCUUUGAAAUGUGUGGCCUCAGAGUCUUUAGCUACUGGGGAUAUGUUGGGCCUAGAAGGUGGCAAACUAUUUAAGGAACCUCUUUCCUAGGCUCAGUUCUGUGAAAAUACAGAGGACGCCCAAGCCAUGAAUGGGCUGCCCUCAUAAGGCCACAUGUAUAAGAAAGGAGGGCAUGAUGAAAGAUGUGGAACUGAGCGUGUGACAGUCCACACAAGCUGAAAGGGCUCAGACGAUCCCCGGACCCUGUUGGCUCGAUACACCACGGGAGACGGGGUGGAGAUACUGGAUCCUCUGCUGUGAAACCAGCCUCAGGCAGGAUCACACACGACAUCCAGUCAUCAUGUCUCCUUUGCCUACAGUUGAGAGAAUUUCUCAAACCUUCCUCGCUUCUGAUGACCUUGACAGUUUUGAGGAAUGCCGGUCAGGUAUUUUAUAGACUGUUCCUCAGUUAGGAUUUAUCUGAUGUUUUCCUAAUGCUUGGACUGGAGGUGUGGGUUUUUGAGAGGAGGACCACAGAGGCAAGAUGCCAUUUCCAUCAGGUCGUAUGAAGGGUGCCUGCAGUCAACAUGAUGGAUCACUGUUGGUGUUGACCUCGAUCAGCUGGCUGACGUAGCGUUUGCCAGGUGUCCUCCACUCUAGAGGUUACUCGUUUUCCCUUUCCAU